rnacentral:rRNA from 1 species
UACGUAGGGCGCAAGCGUUGUCCGGAAUUAUUGGGCGUAAAGAGCUCGUAGGCGGUUUGUCGCGUCUGCUGUGAAAACUCGGGGCUCAACUCCGAGCUUGCAGUGGGUACGGGCAGACUAGAGUGCGGUAGGGGAGACUGGAAUUCCUGGUGUAGCAGUGAAAUGCGUAGAUAUCAGGAGGAAUACCGAUGGCGAAGGCAGGUCUCUGGGCUGACACUGACGCUCAUGCACGAAAGCGUGGGGAGCAAACAGG